GGCCCUACCCCUAUAAUCAGCGCGGUGGGCGAGCCGCUAGAAGCAUACGUCCAAACAGCCACAGCAACGAGACUCUGGUUUGGUCGUGUUUGCCAUCACCUCUAUGUUAGCCCCAAGCGCAGUGGAGGACAUCGGGCGCUUCCCUUGUGGUGUUGCACUUACAGUGUGGUGAGUGAGACUUUACAAAUCAUAAGCUUUUUCACGUUGGAGUGGUGCUGUGUAUUUGCUGUGGGUUGCUGUGUGUCUUGUCAGAGAAGCCCCGCACCAUCCAUUCUCUCCACUGGGCAGAGGACGGAGGGGCCAACGACCUCAGACCUUAUUGCCACCAUACGCUGUGCGCUGUUUUCAGAGUACGAAGGGACGCAGACCAAGAGCUGUCAAGGACUGUGAGUAAAAUACUGAAAGCAUUCGUGGUGUAAGCUUACCUGUGUUUGUAUUUGUCGCAGAGUCGGAGGCGAAAGGGUCCGCCGCCCCCGUGGUCUCUACGAAAGGGCGCCCCUAUCCGGGAUUCGAUCGGCCUACGGGCAGUGGGGAUAGGGCAGCGCUCGACCCGGCGAGGUGGUGUGUGACCUUCGCCCCCCUGCUGACCUACAGAGGAAACCGGGAACGUGAUACCUACCCAGAAAGCUGUAAGCAGCGGAGCCGGUGAGAAACAUUCAAAGUUCAGUAACAGUGUUUCUGUGCCCUAGCGAUCACCUGUGGAGAGAGAGAGGAAAACGAGAGUGAAUCAUCGAAGAACAGACUGUGAACGCGAUACCUACCCAGAAAGCUGUAAGCAGCGGAACCGCGAUCACCUGUGGAGAGAGAGAGGAAAACGAGAGUGAAUCAUUGAAGAACAGACUGUGAACGUGAUACCUACCCAGAAAGCUGUAAGCAGCGGAGCCGGUGAGAAACAUUCAAAGUUCAGUAACAGUGUUUCUGUGCCCUAGCGAUCACCUGUGGAGAGAGAGAGGAAAACGAGAGUGAAUCAUUGAAGAACAGACUGUGAACGUGAUACCUACCCAGAAAGCUGUAAGCAGCGGAGCCGGUGAGAAACAUUCGAAGUUCAGUAACAGUGUCUUGUGUCCUAGCGACCACCUGUGGAGAGAGAAAGGAAAACGAGAGUGAAUCAUUGAAGAACAGACUGUGAACGUGAUACCUACCCAGAAAGCUGUAAGCAGCGGAGCCGGUGAGAAACAUUCAAAGUUCAGUAACAGUGUUUCUGUGUCCUAGCGACCACCUGUGGAGAGAGAGAGGAAAACGAGAGUGAAUCAUUGAAGAACAGACUGUGAACGUGAUACCUACCCAGAAAGCUGUAAGCAGCGGAGCCGGUGAGAAACAUUCGAAGUUCAGUAACAGUGUCUUGUGUCCUAGCGACCACCUGUGGAGAGAGAAAGGAAAACGAGAGUGAAUCAUUGAAGAACAGACUGUGAACGUGAUACCUACCCAGAAAGCUGUAAGCAGCGGAGCCGGUGAGAAACAUUCAGAGUUCAGUAACGGUGUCUUGUGUCCUAGCGACCACCUAUAGAGAGAGAGAGAGGAAAACGAGAGUGAAUCAUUGAGGAACAGACUGUGAACGUGAUACCUACCCAGAAAGUCGUAAACCGCAGAACCGGUGAGAAACAUUCGAAGUCCAGUAACAGUGUCUUUGUGUCCUAGUGGCCGCCUGUGGAGAGAGAGGAAGGCGAGAGUGAACAAUUGGGCACGGACAGUGGGAAAGACCUCUACCAGUCACACCAAAAUUGUCUGCCUCCAGGAAAGAAGAAGGAGGGCGCCACGGCUAGCAGGGUCCAGGCGGGAGCCUGACGUUUCCCUUUUUCCCCGUUAAUGGUGGGGGGCACCCCUGUUGCUCUUGUCCCUGUCUGCCCGUGGCUGUAGUCUCCCUGGAGGGAGGAGAAGAAGCCUAUUAGUUUUAAAUUCCCCUUUCCCCAUUUUUCCCAGUCCUUUUAAGUAUUUAAAUUCAAUAAAGCUUGUUUUAAAUUUUA